rnacentral:tRNA from 1 species
GUUUGAAUAGCUUAAAUUAAAAGCACUACAUUGAAGCCGUAGAUAUGAAAUCUCCUUCUUCAAACA